rnacentral:rRNA from 1 species
GUGGGGAAUAUUGCACAAUGGGGGAAACCCUGAUGCAGCAACGCCGCGUGAAGGAUGAAGGCCCUUGGGUUGUAAACUUCUGUUCUAAGGGAAGAUAGUGACGGUACCUUAGGAGGAAGCCCCGGCUAACUACGUGCCAGCAGCCGCGGUAAUACGUAGGGGGCAAGCGUUAUCCGGAAUUAUUGGGCGUAAAGAGUACGUAGGUGGUUACCUAAGCGCGAGGUAUAAGGCAAUGGCUUAACCAUUGUUCGCCUUGCGAACUGGGCUACUUGAGUGCAGGAGAGGAAAGCGGAAUUCCUAGUGUAGCGGUGAAAUGCGUAGAUAUUAGGAGGAACACCAGUGGCGAAGGCGGCUUUCUGGACUGUAACUGACAUUGAGGUACGAAAGCGUGGGGAGCAAACAGGA